rnacentral:rRNA from 1 species
AGCAGCCGCGGUAAUUCCAGCUCCAAUAGCGUAUAUUAAAGUUGUUGCAGUUAAAAAGCUCGUAGUUGAAUUUCGGGAUCAAUUUGCUGGUCGUGCCUCUGGUACGUACUGGUAUUAUUGGUUUCUCCCUUCUGACGAACCAUGAUGUCAUUAAUUUGAUGUCGUGGAGAAUCAGGACUGUUACUUUAGAAAAAUUAGAGUGUUUAAAGCAGGCAUUAGCUUGAAUACAUUAGCAUGGAAUAAUGAAAUAGGACGUUUGAUCCUAUUUUGUUGGUUUCUAGGAUUGACGUAAUGAUUAAUAGGGAUAGUUGGGGGCAUUAGUAUUCAAUUGUCAGAGGUGAAAUUCUUGGAUUUAUUGAAGACUAACUACUGCGAAAGCAUUUGCCAAGGAUGUUUUCAUUAAUCAAGAACGAAAGUUAGGGGAUCGAGGACGAUCAGAUACCGUCGUAGUCUUAACCAUAAACUAUGCCGACUAGGGAUCGGAUGAUGUUAAUUUUUAAUGACUCAUUCC